rnacentral:lncRNA from 1 species
UGGUAAUCUGUUCUGUGAACUCAAGCUGUUUUGGUCUCCUCAGACCCUCCAUUUCAUUUCCUCAGCUCAUAGAGUCUUCUACACUCCACCUGGGUUCCCCUCCCUGUUCUCUGGCCUGGAAACUCCCUUAAGGUAGUAAGGUAGAGGAAUCACAGAGUCCACAUCACUUGUUUCACAUAUCUGAGGGCUCAGUAUCCUGCAUUGCCUGGUGACUCAGUGUCUUAAAAACUAUUGUUCAUAUAUUUUGUUUAUUUUUUUGUUGUUUCAGGUGGAAGAGUAAACUGUUCCUGUUUCUCCAUCUUGACAGGAAGCAGAAGUUCUCCUUAGCUGAUUUUUCUUCUUGCCUUAUACUGGGUUCUUUAACACCAGAACAAAAAUAAAUAAAUAAAAGAAUCUUCCAGAAAUUCAUGAAGAGACUUCAGCGUAGGUCAGGAAAGCCUGAACUUUCUCAUCCAACACCCGUUCAAGUCGGAGGAUGCUGAUUAAUUCAUGAUGGAAAGGUAUCAAUUUCACAGCCCAGACCUCUACAUUCUUGAAAUGCUCUUCUCAUGGGAGACAUUAAAUAAGCUUUGAAUUAACUGUAAGUAAAUAAAUAUUCAAUUAUUUGAAUAGCACUAUAUUCUGUUUCAAGCAACCAAGUAUUAAUGGCUUAAUACCACAAAAGUUUAUUUUUCACUUCUUGUUAUCAGGAGACCUCUGUGGAUUCUAUAACUCAAAGACCCAGGCUGACGGCUGGUGGAAUAGCUACCAUCUCAAACAUGGCGUGAUGCUGCAUCAGAGAGAAAAAUAAGCUCUUGCAUUGACAAUGAAAUGUCUACCCUGUAGUGACUUGUGCUUACUUCCACUCACAAGUGAUUGCCCAGAGCUACUUACCUGGCUCCAAUCUACCACUGGGUGUGUACUUGCAAUCUACCAUGUACCUAGAAGAUGAGAGAAACAAAUUAUUAAUGAUGACCACACCCCAAUACUAACAACAAUUGCAGAAGAAUCAAUGACUUAAACAAAAAUGUGGCCAUUGAAGGAAUAGAAAAUAUAGUGAGUUUAGUGUAAAUUUAAAAGUGAUUUAUAAGUAACAUACAAAAUCCAGAAACUAUAAGAAAACAGAUUCACAAAUAUAAAUAUAUAAAGCUUUAAAAAAGUUUAAUGUAACAAAAAUGGCAUAAAAGGAGUCAAAAGUUUUUAAAAAAUAUGUUAAUGCAGUAGAUUAGGUGCUAAUUUUCUUAAUAUACUAAUAACUCAAUAAGAGAAAUUUUGUAUCUAGAAGAAAAUGAACAUGGAAAUAGGCAAUUCACAGAUAAUGGCAUUCAUCUGGCGAAUAAAAAAAUGUGUGACAUUCAGAAUAAAAUAAAAAUGAAAUACUGGUUUUCAGCCAUCACUUGAGCAAAACUGCAAAGAUACAAUGAGACUCAGGCAUUCCCAUAUACUGUGGAUGGGAGGGCAAAGACCUUCAACCUCUAAUUUUAUUUCUAUUUUUAAACAUGUAUGUUAAAAUUUUAAAUGCUAAUGUCCUCUUGACCCAAUAAUCUUAUGUCUAAGAUUUGAAUCUGGAGAUAAACUUGAACAAAUGCAUCUAGAUUUAUGUAUAAGUAUUAAUAUAGUUUAGAUGUGUGUUCCCACCCAAAUCUCAUAUUGAAAUGUAAUCCCCAGUGUUGGAGGUGGGUCCUGGUGUGAGGUGAUUGGAUUAUGGGGGUGAAUUUCUCAGGAAUGGUUUAACAUCAUCCCCUACGGCCCUGUCCUUGCAUAGUGAGGUGAGUUCUUCUGAGAUCUGGUCAUUUAAAGUGUGCAGCACCUCCCCGCCUCACUCUCUCUUGCUCCUGCUUUUGCUAUGUGAUGUGUGAGCUACUGCUGUGCCUUACACCAUGAUUUGAAGCUCCCUGAGGCCUCCCCAGAAGGAGAUGCUGCCAUGCUUCCUGUACAGCCUGCAGAAUUGUGAGGCAAUUAAAC